rnacentral:rRNA from 1 species
UACGUAGGCAGCGAGCGUUGUUCGGAAUUACUGGGCGUGAAGAGUGUGUAGGCGGUGCUCUAAGUUCGGUGUGAAAUCUCCCGGCUUAACUGGGAGGGUGCGCCGGAAACUGGAGUGCUCGAGCGUGGGAGAGGAAAGCGGAAUUCCUGGUGUAGCGGUGAAAUGCGUAGAUAUCAGGAGGAACACCUGCGGUGUAGACGGCUUUCUGGACCAUUGCUGACGCUGAGACACGAAAGCGUGGGUAGCAAACAGG